rnacentral:lncRNA from 1 species
CAGGAACAGCCCAGACGUACAUGGAAAGGAUCACACCCCAUCACAAAACAGGGUUCGGAGCUUGGGGAACAGAUUCCUUCUGUUCUGAGAAAGCUUAAAGUGCCUCAAUCAAGGGACUGGCUAACGAUCAAGAGGCAGAUUGCUGUGGUUAUGCCAGCAUUGCAUUCCCCGAGGGUGGAAGGCAAGAGGAAAACUCUGAGUGCCACCAAGAUGAGCUAUCUCCCAGUGAUGCAGUCUCCUGUGUGGUUUUGGACCAAAUAUCUGGCUGGAUAAGAAUACAAAUGCUGGGCCGGGGAUUUAGCUUAGUGAUUUCACCACCUGCUGCGCAAGCCCAAGGACCCGAGUUUGAUCCCCAAUACCAAAAACAAAGAAUACAAAUGCUUCUGAAAAUAAAUACUGGUUUAAGUUCCAUGAGAGCUAUGUAGUUUAACCUGAAGCUUUUUAAAUCUUUUGACUCAAUCCAUACUUAGCUAGAAGGGGGGCAAGAGUCUUACUAUAGGCCAAACCAACAAAAACUUCCUAUGCUUCUCUUGUUGGUUUGGUACCUUUGUUUUCAUACCUGACCUGUUUGGUAGUUUUCUUAACAAAGAAAUACAUAGUAGAGCUCUUUUAUCCAACAGAUUAAUGGAGGCUUCCCACUGUCUCAGUAAAACCUAGUGGGUG